ensembl:snoRNA SNORA70 Small nucleolar RNA SNORA70
CUGCAGCCAAUUAAGCCAACUGUGCUCUUUGUCGAUGGGGGCCCAGUAUGCCAAGGCUGCAAAUGGUAGCCUCCUUAGUGUUUAUGCAGCCUGUUAAUUGCAUGGGUUGCCCUAAGGGACCUUAGAGACAGCC